GAAAAAGGAGCUGUUAGCUUUUCAUUGUUAAUGAAACGAAGGUUUCAAUGUAC
rnacentral:tRNA from 1 species